rnacentral:misc_RNA from 1 species
GUAACAAGCGAAUGGUCAACGAGUAUUCAAAAGUCGGAUAAUUUCUCCGCUAAAUUCAGUCUUCUCUCUCUGUAUCUCUAUAAAACAACUCCAGCUUUGCAUAAUUUGCAUACAUUAUCCAAAUUACGUGCCAUGGAUAGUUAGUUGUUCAUGAUUGGUUUGGGCACUGAGAUUCAAGCAAAAUUGAAACUACGUCAGAAAUCCCGGGUAAUUCUGACUCAAUUGGUCACUUUGCAUGGUGAAUGCUGGUACACGAGAUACUACAAGUUCAUUACCUAGUAUU